AAUACAUGCAAAGUCGAGCGGACAGAUGGGAGCUUGCCCCUGAUGUUAGCGGCGGACGGGUGAGUAACACGUGGGUAACCUGCCUGUAAGACUGGGAUAACUCCGGGUAAACGGGGCUAAUACCGGAUGGUUGUUUGAACCGCAUGGUUCAGACAUAAAAGGUGGC
rnacentral:rRNA from 1 species